UAAGGAUUAAAGGCAACAGAAUCGCACGGCAAUGCUUGAUGAGUUCCAAGGUAGCUUACUACUACCAUCGUAGUAGUUACUGAAGUAGGUUUACUACCAUAGAAAUAAAAGUUUCGGGAAAUAUAGUCGAGUAAAAGACAAGGGAUGGAUAAGACUGUCCAGAGAACUUGUAGCAUAAAUCAGAAAGAGGCAAAAGAAAGCGAGGCCAUGAGGGGCACCACCCGUUUUCUGCUACUAUAGCAGAACACCUGUGACUGAGUAAUUGAUGAAGAACAGGGAUUUGUUGGACACGGACUUCUGGAAGCAAAGAAGUCCAAGAGCGGGCAUGGCGUGGGCGUUUGGCCAGGGCCUUCAUCCUGUGUCAGCCCACGACUGAGGGCAGAAGGACAAGACACGGUUAGAACAAGUGAGCCAGAAAGGGCCAAACUCACUUUCCUAACCAGCUCCUCCUAGGAGAACUCACUCCCUCCCAGGGAAAGGACACAGGUCCACUCGGGGCUCUGCUUCUUGCCAGACUGCAUCUCCCAGUGCUGUCGCAUCAGGUGCCAAGUGCCCAGCACAUGAACUUCAGGAGGCACAAUCAAACCGCAGCUAAUACCAAUUCUUGGAAGUAAGAUGAGUCCAAGAGCCGACGGGGGGGUAGAAGACGGGCUGGGAGCAGGAGUGACGAGGGCCGUCCAGUGUUGGAGCGAGAAGAGCGGUUCCAGGCAUCGUGCAACACAGAUGGGUCCGAGAGGAAAUCAGAGAUACGCUGGCGUGGUUAGAUGUCUUCAUCAGGAAGUGUCAGCUCCGUGCCUGUUAGUGACGUGGGGCACGCUUACCCCUCCUCCAUACGCAGAGCGAUCUUAAUCAGAUGUCUGACAACGUCAGCGCGGUUCUGAGUCUGUCUUCUUUCUUUGGAGACAGGAGAGCAGUUAAUUUAUUUAAGGAUCAGCUGGAUCUAAGUCUUUCUCCGGGAGGUUUGAGGCUUUGUUUCAGUGAACUUCAUCUUGCUGUGGUCCAGGCUCCCAAGCAGAACCGUGGGGGAGGACAGAAGCUGUUCUCAACCUCAGGAGCUGCCGAGACAUCACCCGUGUCGCCUCCACCCGUGGGACAGAGCCCCUGCCAGCAGCAGAGGUGGUGUGGGCCGGCCGGCGUGACUUCACCUGGGUGCUCCCACACUGGGGCACCUGCUGGGAUGCUGGGGGACGGUGCCCCAGACUACAGCCUUCCCACAGCCCAGUUGAUGUCCUCAAUUCAGCCUCCUUCCCUGGCCUCCACACCUCGUGACACAUGAGCCUUGUUGUCCACUGAGAACUUCCAAAGCCUCACGCGGUCUCCGUCCCCUGUACAACGGAGACCUCAGGCCUGGCUGCUCAGUUUGACACACGGAGCAAACGGAAGCGCAGCACCAGGAGCUGC
rnacentral:lncRNA from 1 species